UGACUGUACUAUAGGAGCAGAUGGGCUGACAAGGGGGAAAAAAUCUUUGCAAAUAUCUCUCCAAUAAUUAACCAAAGUGUCAGAAAAUUAGCUAUUUGAAUACAAAGACCAAACUCCUCUGGAUCCUCCACAGUACUUAGCCAUGUCUCCUGGGCUCCUGCCAGUUUACUUGGUCAAAUCUGCCUUCCUGGUAUCCCCCUCCGUCUUCAUCAACGCCACAAUUACAAGCAGGAAUGAUCUGAGGAGUGUAUGAGGAUACACUGCAUGUUCAACAUCCCAGCCACCAUUUCAUGUGUCGGACCAGCCAUGAACUACAAAGCAAGAAACCCUCUGCCAAAAGACAGCAGGCAGGGAAAUGCCACAGAGGCAGCCUUUAACAGAAAUAAUGAGACUGAUAAUGCUGGGGGCGGCGGAAGAAGGCCUCUAUGCCUCCUGAGAUCUCCCCGCUUCCCUGGUUCACCCCUUAAACUCCAGCCACUGCCUCUCAAUGAGUCACAGGCCUCCGAGGUGUGUUCCCACAUGGCUGAAAACUAGAAGUACCAGCAAACGUAUCACACGGUCACUCUGCAAACACUGAAGCCACUCGACCGUCCCCCCCGCCCCCCGGGAACUCUCCAGAGUUUUCCAUGAGCAUUUUGUGGCCAUUAUUCUUGAGGAUUCGCCAUGGAUAACCUUCUGAUCCAGGAAAGCCCAACUAACCAACAGUGAGGGACCGUCCUUUUCCCACAUCCAGAUGGUAUGCUCUCGUUGUUCCUCCCACUCUGAAUUAUAACUUAUCU